rnacentral:rRNA from 1 species
CUUACACAUGCAAGUCGAACGGCAGCGCGGGGCAACCUGGCGGCGAGUGGCGAACGGGGUGAGUAAUAUAUCGGAACGUGCCCUGGAGCGGGGGAUAACGCAGCGAAAGUUGCGCUAAUACCGCAUACGAUCUAAGGAUGAAAGCGGGGGAUUCGCAAGAACCUCGUGCUCCUGGAGCGGCCGAUAUCUGAUUAGCUAGUUGGUGGGGUAAAGGCCUACCAAGGCAUCGAUCAGUAGCUGGUCUGAGAGGACGACCAGCCACACUGGAACUGAGACACGGUCCAGACUCCUACGGGAGGCAGCAGUGGGGAAUUUUGGACAAUGGGCGAAAGCCUGAUCCAGCAAUGCCGCGUGAGUGAAGAAGGCCUUCGGGUUGUAAAGCCCUUUUGUCAGGGAAGAAACGGUAUGGGCUAAUAUCCCGUACUAAUGACGGUACCUGAAGAAUAAGCACCGGCUAACUACGUGCCAGCAGCCGCGGUAAUACGUAGGGUGUAAGCGUUAAUCGGAAUUACUGGGCGUAAAGCGUGCGCAGGCGGUUUUGUAAGUUUGUCGUGAAAGCCCCGGGCUCAACCUGGGAAUUGCGAUGAAGACUGCAAGGCUUGAAUCUGGCAGAGGGGGGUAGAAUUCCACGUGUAGCAGUGAAAUGCGUAGAGAUGUGGAGGAACACCGAUGGCGAAGGCAGCCCCCUGGGUCAAGAUUGACGCUCAUGCACGAAA